rnacentral:misc_RNA from 1 species
CACGACCCCCCAGGCGCCUGCCCAGGCAGCGCGCCGGGCGUUGGGGGAUCACCGGCCUCCCCGCCGGUGCCCCCCGCAACCCAGCGGCGUCGAAGCCCGCGGCCCCUGCGUAGUAGAAUGCUCGCAGGGGGCUCGUGGCCCAGACCGCCGGCAGACACGACAACAAC